UAGCGGGCAGGUGUUACCAUUACAUCCUGUUUUGUAAACCCUGUUGUCUGGCCAGAAUGAAUAACAAGCCUCUCAAGCAAAACUUUUCAGAGAAGGAAUGUUUGUCACGCUGAGUCAGUUGAGCAUAGUGUUAUCUUUGCAAGAAUAAUGCUCACAGUGAAGCCUGCACCGUGAGCGCUGUUCCGUGUGAAGCACCACCACUCAGACCCGCAUCGCGGCUGCUCGAGGAGCUUUGACCUAAUGAGGCACUGUGCAACUCAUAACCGUGCGAAGCCGUGUGAAGCUCUAGGUUCAGUUGCUUUAAAAUAGGCUGUUCGGCGCUGGAGAGCUUCAGGAGUACACAGCAACUGAUGAGCAUGGAGCAUCUGUGGCAAAGGAAAAAAACACCAUCUUCAAAUUUUGAGGAGCAAACAUGACCCUUUCUGUUUCUGCUGCUUCCCACCCACAUUGAGUUAGCGUGAGAGAAGGAGAAAAUCGAGAAAAGCAGAGAUUUUCUUUGCAUGGGAGGACUGAAGAAUGUAUUGUUUUCUCAAUCACGAGCAAGCACUUUCAUCACCACUUUUGCUCUACAUUCUAAGUGACGGAGAGGUUUUUAUAUUUUACUUGUAUAACUUAGAAGAGGUCAUAUUUGUAAAAAGUCCCUCUGCUGAAGUGAGUCUUCUCUUUGGCUGUAUGCAAAUGCUACAGCACACAUGCAGUUUGUAAUUUGCCGAUAGGUGUAAGCAUAUGCAAAAUGGAGAUUAAAUGUGUAUAUGCAAGUUUGCAAAAUUAAUCAACCACGAAUGUGCAGAACUACAAAUGCUUUCUGAAAUUUGGCUCCAGAAAGAUUUAUGAAUUAGCCUCCUAUAGAAGCUUUCACUCAUGGAUGCCAAAUACAUUCCAUUUUUAUUAUCAAUUAAUAAUUUAUAAGGUUUACAUGGUAACAUUCACCCAGAAUAGCAUUUUAAAAAUAUAUCCCAAUCUUGUAAGGACCUGCUGGUACUUAUGCCUAUUCACAAUUGCUUUAGCGGUGCUUUUUAUGAGUAUAAGAUGCUGCCAGCCUGGAGCCCUUCCAGGAUUAGAUCUUAAUCCCCAAAGAUAUGUAAGUGCUACCACCUCCUUUUUUUCAGAUUGAAAACUGGGAGGCGCAUGGGUAAAUGCAUGCAAGUUUACACAUAGUCAAUAAUGGAUGAAACAAUCAAAAUAGGCUCCAAACUUGUGAAAUAUAUUUAAGAACAGUUAAUUUCCCUUCUUGUAGUCCCCCUCAUGUCAGUAGUUGAUCUGAAUGUUAGCAGCAGAAAAAUCAAAGCCUGACUGCAAGUCUUGUAUUUCAGUGUAAAGCCAGAGGAGCUAGCAGUGUACAUACCAAAACCACAUUUGAUUCUUUCUGUUAUCAUGAGUUGAAGCAAAAGGCAUUCAGAUGAUUCUCACAAUGUAAGAGGCAAAAAAAAAAACACCACCACCAGCAAAAAAAAACAGUGUUUCACUUCAACGUACCUUUUACUAGAGCUGGGUGCAAUAGGAUGUGAUUAUUUUCAGAACAUUAAAAAUAUCUGCUAUCUUCCUCCCAUGCUAGGUAGAAUAGUAGUCUGAUGUGUUUUUGCUUUGUAAUUUUUUUUAAUGAAAAAUUCUGAUUUAACCAAACCUCUUCAGAAGGAAGCUGGCUGAUAUUAUCUUACUUCCCUCUUUUCUUAUUGUGGAAUUGUUGAGAGAAUGCCAGUUGUUGCUACUUGUCAUCACAACUUUCUAGUCCAUAAUAUUGGUUGUUAAAGACAAUAAAUAUUAAUCAGAAGACUGCUUAAAAACUGACCAGCAUGCAGAAUCCAAAUGCGUAGGUAAUCACACAAUGACAAUAUAAAUCUAGUCGUUCAUUCAUUACUUAAUUGCAAACACACACAUACGCAAAUUGUGCCUUCUGAAAAACAGUUCUAUUUUAUUUGACCUCUCAAUAUUUAUUCAGCAAAAGUUUUAAAGGUUUUUUUAUUUCUCAGAUGCUCUACUAUAAGUGAAUGAACACCUCUGUUGUUCAGGCGAUUGUAGCAAAAGUCAUGGACACAUGGUAUUGUCAAAAGUAGGAAAGCUGGGGACUGCGGUAUGAAACGAAAUGUCAAGGCUGAUGAUUGCUAAGAUAUUUCUGACUCCGCACAGAAGGCCUUUUUUUGUCCCCACAUGCGUGGUGUUAAAAGACUGCAAGGUGCUGUGCUUGCCUUUGAGCUGGGUUAAUGGAUCCUGAGGACAGUCCUCCCAGCAACAGCCCGUAUUGAGGGAUCUGCACAGGUUUCACAGCUGCACGGUGCUGAGUUGCUCUGCUAGGCAUGAGCUAAUGUACAGUUGAUUUCUCUCUGGGGGGCACUUUGAUUCGGGGUUUCAGAGGGGACUCUCUCAGUAUUCCUAAUGAUGUUUUUGGCUACAAAGCCUGGCAACGUUACAGUGUUGUUGUGGACUCUGUACAACUGACACCAAAGAAAUGUAGCCUCAAGAACUGCAGCAAAAGGC